GAGGACCUGGGAGACCUCGUGAGCCCAGAGAGCCUUUGAGACCUUUGAUUCCAGGGGCCCCAGCCAGGCCCCUGUCUCCCCUCUGACCUUUAAAGCCUGUGACAGACAAUAGAAAAACACUGUGAAAAAUCCCUACUAAUAGGGAGCUGAUUACACAGCUUGAACACCCACUCUCUCCAUUUCUUCUAAUUUGCUUGGAUAUUUCAAAUGUCUCGGAGGCAAUCACGA